rnacentral:rRNA from 1 species
AUUGAACGCUGGCGGCAUGCUUUACACAUGCAAGUCGGACGGCAGCACAGAGAAGCUUGCUUCUUGGGUGGCGAGUGGCGAACGGGUGAGUAACAUAUCGGAACGUACCGAGUAGUGGGGGAUAACUGAUCGAAAGAUCAGCUAAUACCGCAUACGUCUUGAGAGGGAAAGCAGGGGACCUUCGGGCCUUGCGCUAUUCGAGCGGCCGAUAUCUGAUUAGCUAGUUGGUGGGGUAAAGGCCUACCAAGGCGACGAUCAGUAGCGGGUCUGAGAGGAUGAUCCGCCACACUGGGACUGAGACACGGCCCAGACUCCUACGGGAGGCAGCAGUGGGGGAUUUUGGACAAUGGGCGCAAGCCUGAUCCAGCCAUGCCGCGUGUCUGAAGAAGGCCUUCGGGUUGUAAAGGACUUUUGUCAGGGAAGAAAAGGCUGUUGCUAAUAUCAGCGGCUGAUGACGGUACCUGAAGAAUAAGCACCGGCUAACUACGUGCCAGCAGCCGCGGUAAUACGUAGGGUGCGAGCGUUAAUCGGAAUUACUGGGCGUAAAGCGAGCGCAGACGGUUACUUAAGCAGGAUGUGAAAUCCCCGGGCUCAACCUGGGAACUGCGUUCUGAACUGGGUGACUAGAGUGUGUCAGAGGGAGGUAGAAUUCCACGUGUAGCAGUGAAAUGCGUAUAGAUGUGGAGGAAUACCGAUGGCGAAGGCAGCCUCCUGGGAUAACACUGACGUUCAUGCUGAAAAGCGUGGGUAGCAAACAGGAUUAUAUAGCCUGGUAUCCAAGGGCGAAUCUGCAUUGGUGUCCGGCUUAUCGAUCCGGUGACCCGGGGAAAAAACCAAAAAACCAACUUUUGUUUCUUUUAGUGAUGUUUAUUAAUGUGUGGCCCUGGUGUGUGAUUGUUGGUGUGUGCGUGUGUUGUGUGUGGCUGUGUGCGCGGGCACAUGUGGAUGGAUUUCUGCUGUGUGUGUGUGUGUGUGUGUGUUAUGUGUUGUUAUGAUGAUUCUUGUGCUUGUGUUGUCUCUGUUGCGUGAUGUUGUGUGUGUGUGGGUG